rnacentral:rRNA from 1 species
AUACGAAGGGGGCUAGCGUUGCUCGGAAUCACUGGGCGUAAAGCGCACGUAGGCGGCUUCUCAAGUCAGGGGUGAAAUCCUGGAGCUCAACUCCAGAACUGCCUUUGAUACUGAGGAGCUCGAGUCCGGGAGAGGUGAGUGGAACUGCGAGUGUAGAGGUGAAAUUCGUAGAUACUCGCAAGAACACCAGUGGCGAAGGCGGCUCACUGGCCCGGUACUGGCGCUGAGGUGCGAAAGCGUGGGGAGCAAACA